rnacentral:rRNA from 1 species
CAGGUGUAGCGGUGGAAUGCGUAGAUAUCUGGAAGAACACCGAAAGCGUAGGCAGAUCUCUGGACGAUGACUGACACUCAGGGACGAAAGCAUGGGUAGCAAACAGGAUUAGAUACCCUGGUAGUCCAUGCCCUAAACGUUGUCAACUUGAUGUGAGCGGUAUUACUCCCGUUCGUGUCGAAGCUAACGCGAUAAGUUGACCGCCUGGGAACUACGGCCGCAAGGCUAAAACUCAAAGGAAUUGACGGGGGCCCGCACAAGCGGUGGAGCAUGUGGCUUAAUUCGAGGCAACGCGAAGAACCUUACCUGGAUUUGACAUGGAGAGGACCGUCGUAGAAAUACGAUUUUCCGCAAGGACCUUUUCACAGGUGCUGCAUGGCUGUCGUCAGCUCGUGCUGUGAGGUGUUCGGUUAAGUCCGGCAACGAGCGCAACCCAUGUUACUAGUUGCCAGCAGGUGAAGCUGGGCACUCUAGUGAGACUGCCCGUGUUAAGCGGGAGGAAGGCGUGGAUGACGUCAAGUCCGUAUGGCCUUUAUAUCCAGGGCUGCACACGUGCUACAAUGGCUGUUACAGAGGGAAGCAAUGCCGCGAGGCGGAGCUGAUCCGUAAAAGCAGCCCUAGUUCGGAUUGCAGUCUGCAACUCGACUGCAUGAAGCCGGAAUCGCUAGUAAAGGCGUAUCAGCUACGACGCCUUGAAUACGUUCCCGGGCCUUGUACACACCGCCCGUCACAUCAUGGGAGCUGAUUGCACCCGAAGCUGCUGACCGAACCUGCAAAGGGCGGAGGCAUCUAAGGUGUGGUUAGUGACUGGGAUGAAGUCGUAACAAGGUAGCCGUUGGGGAACCAGCGGCUG